rnacentral:rRNA from 1 species
AGUGAACGCUGGCGGUAGGCCUAACACAUGCAAGUCGAACGGCAGCACAGUAAGAGUUUGCUCUUACGGGUGGCGAGUGGCGGACGGGUGAGGAAUACAUCGGAAUCUACUUUUUCGUGGGGGAUAACGUAGGGAAACUUACGCUAAUACCGCAUACGACCUACGGGUGAAAGCAGGGGAUCUUCGGACCUUGCGCGAUUGCAUGAGCCGAUGUCGGAUUAGCUAGUUGGCGGGGUAAAGGCCCACCAAGGCGACGAUCCGUAGCUGGUCUGAGAGGAUGAUCAGCCACACUGGAACUGAGACACGGUCCAGACUACUAAGGGAGGCAGCAGUGGGGAAUAUUGGACAAUGGGCGCAAGCCUGAUCCAGCCAUACCGCGUGGGUGAAGAAGGCCUUCGGGUUGUAAAGACCUUUUGUUGGGAAAGAAAAGCAGCAGGUUGAUACCCCGCUGUUCUGACGGUACCCAAAGAAUAAGCACCGGCUAACUUCGUG